rnacentral:rRNA from 1 species
UACGUAGGGUGCAAGCGUUAAUCGGAAUUACUGGGCGUAAAGCGUGCGCAGGCGGUUGUGCAAGACAGAUGUAAAAUCCCCGGGCUCAACCUGGGAAUUGCAUUUGUGACUGCACGGCUAGAGUGUGUCAGAGGGGGGUAGAAUUCCACGUGUAGCAGUGAAAUGCGUAGAGAUGUGGAGGAAUACCGAUGGCGAAGGCAGCCCCCUGGGAUAACACUGACGCUCAUGCACGAAAGCGUGGGGAGCAAACAGG